GUGCCAGCCGCCGCGGUAAUACAGGGGGGGCAAGCGUUGUCCGGAAUUACUGGGCGUACAGCGCGCGCAGGCGGUCCACUACGUGCCGUGUGACAGACGUCGGCUUAACCGACGUAGGCCAGGGUACACGGGUGAACUUGAGGCAGAGAGAGGGAUGUGGAAUACCCGGUGGAGCGGUGAAAUGCGUAGAGAUCGGGUGGAACACCAGGGGCGAAGGCGGCAUCCUGGCUCUGUUACUGACGCUGAGGCGCGAGAGCGUGGGGAGCAAACCGGAUUAGAUACCCGGGUAGUCCACGCCGUAAACGAUGUGUACCCGGCGCUGGGAAGUGAUUGCGCUUCUCGGUGCCCCAGCUUACGCGAUGAGUACACCGCCUGGGGACUACGGCCGCAAGGCUAAGACUCAAAGGAAUUGACGGGGGCCCGCACAAGCAGCGGAGCGUGUGGUUUAAUUCGACGCAACACGAAGAACCUUACCUAGAUUUGACAUGCACCUGCAUGCCACGGAAACGUGGCAGCCUUCGAGGGUGGUGCACCGGUGCUGCAUGGCUGUCGUCAGCUCGUGUCGUGAGAUGUUGGGUUAAGUCCCGCAACGAGCGCAACCCUUGCCUGGUGUUACGAGUGUCACCAGGGACUGCCGUGGUGUUACCACGGAGGAAGGCGGGGAUGACGUCAAGUCCGCAUGGCCCGUACGUCUAGGGCUACACACACGCUACAAUGAUUGGGUUAAUGUGUUGCCAGGUAGCAAUGCCGAGCGAAUCACCAAGACCAGUCUCAGUGUAGAUUGGGGGCUGCAACUCGCCCCCAUGAAGGCGGAGUUGCUAGUAACCGCGUGUCAGCAAAGCGCGGUGAAUACGUACCCGGGCCUUGUACACACCGCCCGUCACGUCAUGGGAGUCGGGAACACCUGAAGUCCGUGGGCCGACCGCCGGUAAAAGGGUGGAGGCAGUGGCCGAAGGUGGCCUGGCGACUGGGACGAAGUCGUAACAAGGUAACC
rnacentral:rRNA from 1 species